UACAGAGGUGCCAAGCGUUAGGCGGAAUCACUGGGCUUAAAGCGUGUGUAGGCGGGUGCCUAAGUACCUUGUGAAAUCCCACGGCUCAACCGUGGAACUGCUGGGUAUACUGGGUGCCUUGGGUCAUCCAGGGGCUGCCGGAACAAAUGGUGGAGCGGUGAAAUGCGUAGAUAUCAAGAGGAACACCUGAGGUGAAGACGGGUUGCUGGGCCGACACUGACGCUGAUGCGCGAAAGCCAGGGGAGCAAACGGG
rnacentral:rRNA from 1 species